rnacentral:lncRNA from 1 species
CUAUACAUACAUAUAUUGGGAAUUUAUUACAAACAUUAUAUCAUUUAGUAAUAGUUAAAACAUUAGACUUUCAUCCACCUCUACUAGUGCUUUGAAAAUCACAAAUAUUGGCAAAUGUAGUUAGUAAGUCCUGUAAACUUAGUGUGUUCUAUUGUUAGCAUUAUCGACCAUGUAAUUAAUGAGUGAGAAUACGAUUCAGUACUCACAUUGCUACUGUCUUCUGUUGUAGGUACCAUGCUCGGAGCUUGCUUACAAAUAAAAAUUUUAGUAUAAUUUAUAUUUAGCUGUUCUUAGAGUCUACAAUAUUUUACAGUAGAACAUGGGAAAGUAUUAGAAGCUGUUUACAUGAAGUCCUUUAUACCAGUAUUGUCACCGACUAAAUGAACCAAUAGUUAGCAUUUCUGCUACCUUUCUGAUGGUGAUGACUUAACUUCAAGAAGUGGCUUUUCUCACUUCUUCCAUUAUCUUUAUGCAUUUUUUAAACAAAAUUUAUUUUUAAAAGCCAUUUUGUUAAAACCAACAAUAUUUUGUGAGUUCUUUAGAUGUGGCAAUAUUAUCUGCUAGUGAUAAUUUGUAGCAAGUUAUCAUUAUUAUUAUUAUUUGGAGACAGGGUUUUACUGGCUUUGCACUCAGAGUCCUCCUACGUUUGCCUCCCACAUUCUGGGGUUAUAGGCAUAUGCUGCUGUGCCUGGCUCAGUGCUUAAAACUCUUAAGUCAUUGGUAAUACUGAUUUUUCAUUAUCAUAUCUUUUACUAUAUUACAGCUUUCCCCUGUAUCUACCCUAGAGUUCAGGUACCAAUGAGUAAUGAGUAUCUAAAAACUAGAUUAAGAACAUUGGGGACGUUAGUAAGAUGGAGUGAAGGCUAAGUGGACAGAAAUAGCCAGCAUCUGAAAAGAGCUGACUAGAGACAGCUGUGAUAGCCAGCACUGUCGCUGACGCCACGUCACUGUAGAGGUACCUGCACAGCCAUUGUGGGAAGCAUUUGGUUUGAGCUGUUUGAUCUCCACUUAAUGUUCUUUCUCCUUAGCUGGCCAGAUGCUCUUGAGAGAUUAUUUUUGAUUUCAGAUAAUUGUGUAGGAUAAGUUAAAUUCAAGCAUUUUUAGCAUGCACAUGUUAAAAAUAACAUAGAAGUGUAGCUGUAAUACAAAGGAGAAGUGAUUGCUUGCCCAAAGUUUGAAAAGAUCUGGAACCUGUCUGAGGAGUCUUUUGGCAAAGAAAUACUGAGUCACCAGAGAAAAUCAACGACUCAGUUAUGAAGGAAGGGAUCUGUUGGGCUUCGUGAGACCCUAGAGGUCUUCAUUUCUGAAGCCCUUCAUUUCCUCAUGUGUAAAAGUAGUGUUUCCCAUAGUUGCUCAACUGUGUAAUUAACUAAUUGCACGUAUAAAACCUAGUUUUCAUCUCACUAGCUUUAUAGGGAAAGAUGUAGCCCGAGCUUCCGGGGCCACAGGCAUGCCUCCUCUGGGCUUUGCUUGCCUGUUUCACUCAGCACAGGGUCUGGUUGUUUGUAGGCUGUCGGUUAGAGGGAAGAUGCAUCUGCAUACUGAUAGCUCUGUGUCCACACCAGUGUGGAUGGGUGAUAUUUUAACCUACUCGUGCCUGAAAUUAGUGUUUUACAACCUGAACAAUUAAAACAUCCUGGUGCUAUUCACUUUAUCAUUGAGUUACAUUUUUAAUUCUUGAACCAAAGAAUUAGUUUUCUUUUUGGUUGACUGAGAGCUUCUCACAUCUGUGUCUGAAGAAGUGAACAGUCUAUUGACAGCUUAAUUUCAGCAGAGUCAAUUGUGAAUGAAUCUUAGUUAGACUUAUUUUUUUCUGUUAUGCAUAUUAGUGUGGGCUUUAAUUUUGUACUUUAAUGUAACAUGGCUACUAUAUAAGGUAUUUUAAUAGGCUGAAGCUACUAAAGAUUAUUGAAUCACUUUUCAAAAGUCUCACCAACCCCCCUUGGUCUUACUUCAGCAGUGAAGAAAAAUUAUCUCUAUAAGCAAAGUAUUCUAUUGGAUACUUUUAAUGACUGCUCAACCAAAUGCUAAAAUAAAGGGCAAAUAAUAGGUCCAUUUUACAUUACAAGUCAAGAAUUUAGUACCUCUGUGUGGGGGCAGGGUAUAAACCUUAAUGGCUUUAAAUAAUGAUACAGGUAUUUACCUAAUGAGAAUGAAAUUAAAGGACACUUUUAAAAACAUAAAAGUCACAAACACAUGCACACACACACACACACACACGCACACGCACACGCACACGCACACACUUUCCCAGUAGGAAGUCCAAAGGUACGUUGACUUGAGCAAACACCCUGGCAGUUGAACUUCACAUCAGAAGCAGUUUGGGUGCUGCUGCUCAGCAUCCGUGAAAAUUAGUCAGAUUAUGUAACUGGCAGACUGCAGUCCUCUGGAUGGACUUGUCCAGGUGUCUGCUGCUGCUUACGAUUGGCUUCUCUGUUCUUCCUUUGAAGCUCUGCAAACACCAUCAGGGUUUCCUUAAAACAGACGCUGCCCGGCUGAUCACUCAGCCACUCACGGAACCGUGCGGGGGGCUAGGAAGGUAGACAGUCACACUGAAAAUGCUUGUGUCCUUUCCAUUCGCUUCAGUCCGUGUCUCCUUGAGGGUUGAUGCAAUAUAUGGUUUUGCAGUGAAUUCUGAAUGGAAAAAAGAAUCGAUUCUUGAAAGGUGACACGCUCGUGUGCAUAGAUGAGCAAAUAUGAUAGAAAGCAGAGGGAGGGCUGCCCCGGCUCUUGUACCUGUGUUGCCACGGGAUUGUUUCUUAAUAAUUCCACUGCUUGUCCAAGUCUUAAAAGGCAAAGUGAGUCAUUUUUCUCAAGUAGGAAAAGAGAGGAGAGAAUAGGAGAGAGUUUGCCACUGCUUGCUGUCUCCUGGUGUGAUUAUUAAAAAGC